rnacentral:lncRNA from 1 species
AACAUUCUAGAAUAUUAAUACACGAAAAUAUAAAAUUCGAACAAUAAAUAAUACAUACUAAAUUAAAUUUACGGAUACAAGAAAAUACAAACAUUCUAAAAAAUUAAUACACGAAAAUAUAAAAUUCGAACAAUAAAUAAUACUGACUAAAUUUGAUUUACAGAUACAAAAAUAGUACAAAAAAUUUGAAUAGUAGUUUCUCCACAAUUAGUCGUCUUCUGCUUGAAUCAGGUCUACAUUGCAUUAUUAUCCCACCUAUAAGUUGUGGAAUAAAC